CUCAGGGGUGUCAAACUCAUUUUCACCCGGGGCCACAUCAGCCUGGCAGUUGCCUUCAAAGGCAUUACAGUCCUAAAAUUAGAUUCAGCCCUGUUUGAGGGCAACUGCCAGGCUGAUGUGGCCCCGGGUGAAAAUGAGUUUGACACCCCUGAGCUGGAUGUUUCAUUUCACUAAUAUAGCAUUCCCUCUCUUUAGCUUGUUUUGAAGUUACCUUCCAAGCAAUUCAUAUUCUUGCUAGUGUUCAUAUUCAAAUGAAUUAUAAACAGGCUAUUAGAUGUAUGUUUCUUGCUCAUCCAUCCUUAUUUGAGUGAAAUACUGGAAUAAGGCUGCUCCCAAGGCAGGAUAGCUGUAAAGAGCAAAGACCCAGGAAGGCAAUCAAAACUGGAAAACAUGCUGCUAACAUCAGGGUUUUAGUUUAGACCAGAAACAUGCUUUUUGAAUCGAAUUUCCUGAUCUCACCUGCUUAAAUGUUGUUUUGGCUCACAUAAUCGAGUAGUUACAGAGCAUUUGAACUGAAUAUGUCAUCUGGAUAAGACUGAACUGGAUCAGACUAGCAUACCAGCAGUAAAAAGUCUUAAUCAUUUAUGCAAAAUCCUAGCAGUAUAUACACGCCCUCAGGGUAGUCCCGUAGGGCUAAUUGGUUACAACGUUUGCAUAUAAAUUAUACAACCGUAUUCUUAAUACGUGUGCCCAGUGAGUAGGGGGUCUUCUCCUGGAGGCAGGUAGCCUUUGAUGAGGAGGUGUGGGUUUGUAUUCAAAUCAUAUUAUAACGAGCAAAGUUUAGUUGAAGCACGUCCACAAAUUUUGGCAGUAAUCACUAGACAGUCAAUCAACUGUUCAUGGUUGACUUCUCAAUUCCCAGAUAGGCUUUGUUCUACAAUUAAAAAGUGAAUUGAUGCUAGACAUCUCAUUUAUUAUUCAUCUAAUAUUAACUUUCUAGUAGGCCCCAUGGUCAGGUCUUUUGGCCUCUCUGGCAACAUUCGGGCUGAGAAUUUUCUACAGUAGCAGAACGAGACCUGUCUUUCAAUAAAUUAGUGUGUUACAUAACACAUUUCAUGCCAAUAGUAUUCCAGUUCUCUAGGGCCAGCAGGAACUUAUGGAAAGGGACACAUAGAAGGCACUCAGCUGAAAGUUUAGUCAAAGCCCUAGAAUAUAUAGACUAUUUGAGGCAUCUAAAGUAGCAUUAGAUUUCCCUCAGGUUUAGGCAAAUGCUGCUCAAUAUAAUGAAUAUACUUGAAACUAAAGCUGUAGUAUGUACCUUCUCAGUAAUAUGCAUGGCAGAAGUCCACAGAAAAGUGGUGUAUUUUCAUCAUAAGGAAAAAAAUAAAGAUGUGACAUCUGACUUGGCACUUUAGUAUCUGCUUUUUUUCUUGCUGAGUUUUUCCCCUUCUGCUUAAAAGUGACCUUUUAGCAGGUUGUGACAAUAGAAGUGUUUCAGCAAGACAACAAGUGUGAUAUGCUUAAAGAAAAGCAACAUCAUAUUUGAGCAGGUAUUGUCAUAUAUUAAAUGGCAUUGUAACCCAACUAUACAAACCAAGAAUAUUGCUAAUGGAAAUAUUAAAGAUAAUAUUGUAUGGAACGAGUGUCAUCAAAAUAAGGGAGUUUUGUGUGGGGAAGCUGGGAGAUUUUACCAUCUGAAUGUAAAGAUCCACGUAUCCUUUUCCAGUUGUUUUAAGUAUGAUAGGAUUUUGUUUUUUGUUUUGUUUUCUGCUUGACUGCUAGCUCCGUGUAUGCUUAGAUUUAAAAAAAAAAAAUAAAAAAAAGAUAUUUCCUUUGUGAUAGACGUGUGUGUUGAACCCUUGGUUUAGAAAUUGAUACUCCAAAGAAAAUGUUUUCCCCAUAAUUUCCGUCUACUGACUCCUGACUUCAGGGGAGGUUUCAGUUCCAUUACUUUACUAGCUUUCUUCAAGGUACAGAUUAGCAGAUGGUAGCCCAGGCUUUCCUGAGGUUGCAACAUGUCCUAAGAUCAUAGAAUCAUGUGGUGGGCUGUGUCUUAACCAUGGGGAAAAGUGCUUUUUUGUUUAUAUUGCAUUGAGUUGAUUUGAACAAAAAUGAAUGAAAAUGGUUUUUUGUUUUUUUUUAGUUUUUUGAAACACACCAAAGAUACUUUUUAUCAGCCUGUGCUUCUUAGCAUUCACAGAAGAUACUGGCUCAAUUUCUACUGCAGUUACUGUCAUAAGUAGUCUUUGAAACAAGAGUCUUUGUCAGCUGUUACCAACAAAGAAAACUCUGCAAUGCCAGUUUUUUGCUUCUGGAAAAAUCCCAGUAUUUCAUUGUAAAACUACACAUUUCAAAGCAACCUGGCUGAAAUCUAGAGGACACCAAUCUCAAAAAACUUUUAUUAAUGCUCAGAGACGUCCUCUGUCCAGAGUAAAAUAUAUAUAUAUGUAUAUGUCUAUACCUAUAUCUCCUUACCCUGUUCCCCUGAAAAUAAGACAGGGUCUUACACAAUUUUUGCUCCAAAAGAUAUUCACAUAUAGCUGCCUGGACACUAUUUCAAUUAAUUUUUUAAAUGAACUGUAACUAGGGCUUAUUUUUGGAGUAGAGAUUAUAUUUUGAGCACCUUCAAAAAUCCUGAAAAAUCAUGCUAGGGCUUCUUUUUGGGGUAGGUGUUAUUUUCAGGGAAACAGGGUAGUAAAAGACGCCUACAUCUCAGAAAACAACCACUCUGACUAUAUGUGCUAUGCUGUGUGCUCCUAGUGAGGGUUUAGAUGGGCAAAAUCCUGAUCACUACUAUUUGUUAUUGCCUGUAUGUAUUUGAUAUGGCAUUGCAACCCCUAAUCCCUCUUGUUAGAUUAAAAGAUAUGGAGUGAAAUCCUGUCUCAAUAAAAUCAGUAAGGUGAAACUCUCACUGAAAUGAAGAGAUGGGUUUUAUUACAAACUCCUGUGGGUAAUAAGGGUUCAUUAUUGAGAUUUCUGAUUUACACUAGAGGAGCUCACUGUAGUUAGCCUGUUUAAACGGGAGAUAAAGAGCAGUAUUAAUGUCUAUUACUGUCUAUGGGAACAAAUUCCUGCCACCAUAAGGGUCUCUAAUAUAGCAAGCAUGGUAAGGAAAGGAUGAAAGUCUGAGCAGGACAAAUUAAAACUGGAAAUAUGUAGACAUGACUAAUGGAAAUGUGGGUUAUUGAGCAAAUUAUCAAAUAUAGGCAUUUUUUAAUUCCCUGUAAUCGUAAGUCAUUUGGAGCACUUAGAAUCUGUAGUUCCAUCACUGAGACUGCCUUUUGUCCUGACCUGUGAGUGAGAACAAAAAAGAAGAGGCCCAUGGCCUUGGAAAGAUGAGCACCAUGCAGAGGAAGGUGACUCUGGGCAGGCUCCAGUCCUCCACAAUUGUCCCCUAGCUGCUGGGAUGGCUCUCUCCCUGGUCAUGCCCAUAGUAUGGGUGGAGAGUGAACCUGGGGACAGUGGCAUAAAGAGACCACGAAGGCAGUUGGGAGAUGUUGGCUACCUAGUACUAUAGCCAAAAGUUUCACUUUGAUUCUCAGUUACUGGUGGAGAAUCUUAGGGGCUCAUUUUGCUGGCUUUAUCCUACUUUGCCUAAACCUGAUUCUCUCAAUAAUGCUUUUUAAUCUUGAUGCUGUAACUGUUAGGUAAAAAUCAAUUGAUUGUAAUAAGUGAUUUUCCUGAUGAAAUUAAAUGAGUAAUGGUAUACACUGGUGGUUUCCUUCUGUCCUGAAUCUGUUCAAAGUUGUUCCCCAGCUAACAGAACUAAGUCAAGCUGACAUUGGUGAUAGAUGAUUAUACAGUCUGUUCUUUUAUUUUUUACAGGAGUUGAAUACAGAACUUGUUUGGACUUUAAAAGGACACAGUAUCUUGGAAUUAAUUUUUGAAGUUAAAUAUUAUCAGGGUAUUUAAAUACUGUACUACUGAUACAACAGAUAGUCAGAUCCAUAUAAAUGCGCUAAUAGUCUAUAAUUUGUAUGGAAAAAAGCUUAUCCAAUGAAAACUCUUUACUGCCAGUGGUAUUCUAAGAUAUUCCCAUGCAGAUCUAGUGAAUUGAAUAAAACCUGGUUGUUCUUUGAGGAAAAACAGAAGCCAAGAAUUAUUCACAAGGCUUACAUUAAGAGUGUAAAAAUAACCCCAAAUAUGUGUUAGGACUAAAAUUAUAUUUCUGGGUUGUUUAUGUACACUUGUUUCCUGGAUCUCAAAUGGAAGUAUUUCCUUUGGAAAUGAGAUCUCAUCACUUCAUAUUCUUUUGAACGUGACUUCUUUCCAACACUCAAAUCAAUCUUCUGUUGACUUCAGGAGUUUGCGAAUUGGUCCAUAUCAAAUGGGUCGUAAGAACAGAGACACAUCAAAGUAUUCCAUUUCAUGCUAUUAUUGCUGUAUGCAGGUCUCAAUUUCCAUAUAGACUUAAAAGAAAUUGGAUAAAAUAAAUAUUCACUAACAUGGGAAUGUAUGCAAUUACCUGCUGAGGGAAUCAGACAGCUGGAUCUGAUGUCAUAUUCUCAGCUAGUAAUUAGAUAUCAUUUAUCUUUCUUACAGUUCCAUGAGGGAAGUAACAUUGCAUAUGACUUCGUGCGUUUUUUGAGCAAUGAGUGGCAAUGGCAUAAUUGGGGUAUCAGUUCACAGAGAUUGCAGCAGAAUCCUGUGUAUACAUGCUCUAGCAAAGAGUUUAACUUUCAUGCUGAGCCAGAGGAGACAGAGAGGCUCCUGAACUGAAUUCUGUCUCCUCCCUUAGUAUGUGGAAGCAGAAAAGCUGGAUUCCCAGCUCAGGCUGGCCGUGUGGGUUUUCAGCAAGGACACCAAAAAUUAUCUGCUGCCUGAUGAUAUCACUGUUUCACUCUCCUAUUGUCAGCCAUAUCCAAGAAUCAGAGGCUUACAAAAGUGGGUGAACAUAUUGUAACGUUCCCUACAAAUAUACAGAGCGCAAUAAUAAAUAAAGUUUGGGAAAAAAAAUUCCCUCCUGGA